rnacentral:rRNA from 1 species
GAUGAACGCUAGCGGGAGGCCUAACACAUGCAAGCCGAGCGGUAGAGUUUCUUCGGAAACUUGAGAGCGGCGCACGGGUGCGUAACACGUGUGCAACCUACCUUUAUCUGGGGGAUAGCCUUUCGAAAGGAAGAUUAAUACCCCAUAAUAUAAUGAUUGGCAUCAAUUAUUAUUGAAAACUCCGGUGGAUAGAGAUGGGCACGCGCAAGAUUAGAUAGUUGGUGGGGUAACGGCUCACCAAGUCAAUGAUCUUUAGGGGUCCUGAGAGGGAGAUCCCCCACACUGGUACUGAGACACGGACCAGACUCCUACGGGAGGCAGCAGUGAGGAAUAUUGGACAAUGGGUGAGAGCCUGAUCCAGCCAUCCCGCGUGAAGGAUGACGGUCCUAUGGAUUGUAAACUUCUUUUGUACAGGGAUAAACCUACCCUCGUGAGGGUAGCUGAAGGUACUGUACGAAUAAGCACCGGCUAACUCCGUG